AGUGAACGCUGGCCGUAGGCCUAACACAUGCAAGUCGAACGGCAGCACAGUAAGAGCUUGCUCUUACGGGUGGCGAGUGGCGGACGGGUGUGGAAUACAUCGGAAUCUACUUUUUCGUGGGGGAUAACGUAGGGAAACUUACGCUAAUACCGCAUACGACCUACGGGUGAAAGCAGGGGAUCUUCGGACCUUGCGCGAUUGAAUGAGCCGAUGACGGAUUAGCUAGUUGGCGGGGUAAAGGCCCACCAAGGCGACGAUCCGUAGCUGGUCUGAGAGGAUGAUCAGCCACACUGGAACUGAGACACGGUCCAGACUCCUACGGGAGGCAGCAGUGGGGAAUAUUGGACAAUGGGCGCAAGCCUGAUCCAGCCAUACCGCGUGGGUGAAGAAGGCCUUCGGGUUGUAAAGCCCUUUUGUUGGGAAAGAAAAGCAGCAGGUUAAUACCCCGCUGUUCUGACGGUACCCAAAGAAUAAGCACCGGCUAACUUCGUG
rnacentral:rRNA from 1 species